AUUGAACGCUGGCGGCGUGCUUAACACAUGCAAGUCGAGCGGUAACAGGCGUAGCAAUACGUGCUGACGAGCGGCGAACGGGUGAGUAAUGCUUCGGAAUCUUCCUUGUAGUGGGGAAUAACCUGGGGAAACUCAGGCUAAUGCCGCAUACGAACCAUGGUUGAAAGCGGGGGAUCGCAAGACCUCGCGCUAUAAGAUGAGCCGAAGUCGGAUUAGCUAGUUGGUGGGGUAAAGGCCUACCAAGGCGACGAUCCGUAGCUGGUCUGAGAGGACGACCAGCCACACUGGGACUGAGACACGGCCCAGACUCCUACGGGAGGCAGCAGUGGGGAAUAUUGGACAAUGGGGGCAACCCUGAUCCAGCGACGCCGCGUGUGUGAAGAAGGCCUGCGGGUUGUAAAGCACUUUUAGUGGGGACAAAAAGCCGAGGGCUAAUACCUUUCGGUCUUGAUUUAACCCAAAGAAAAAGCACCGGCUAACUCUGUGCCAGCAGCCGCCGUAACAC
rnacentral:rRNA from 1 species